rnacentral:rRNA from 1 species
GACAGAGGUGCCGAGCGUUAGGCGGAAUCACUGGGCUUAAAGCGUGUGUAGGCGGAUUUUUAAGUACCUUGUGAAAUCCCACGGCUCAACCGUGGAACUGCUCGGUAUACUGGGAAUCUUGAGCCACUUAGGGGUCGUCGGAACAAGCGGUGGAGCGGUGAAAUGCGUAGAUAUCGCUUGGAACGCCGAAGGUGAAAACAGGCUGCUGGGGUUGCGCCGACGCUGAGACACGAAAGCCAGGGGAGCAAACGGG